UGGGGAAUAUUGGACAAUGGACCGAGAGUCUGAUCCAGCAAUUCUGUGUGCACGAUGAAGUUUUUCGGAAUGUAAAGUGCUUUCAGUUGGGAAGAAAGAAAUGACGGUACCAACAGAAGAAGUGACGGCUAAAUACGUGCCAGCAGCCGCGGUAAUACGUAUGUCGCGAGCGUUAUCCGGAUUUAUUGGGCGUAAAGCGCGUCUAGGUGGUUAUAUAAGUCUGAUGUGAAAAUGCAGGGCUCAACUCUGUAUUGCGUUGGAAACUGUAUAACUAGAGUACUGGAGAGGUAAGCGGAACUACAAGUGUAGAGGUGAAAUUCGUAGAUAUUUGUAGGAAUGCCGAUGGGGAAGCCAGCUUACUGGACAGAUACUGACGCUGAAGCGCGAAAGCGUGGGUAGCAAACAGGAUUAGAUACCCUGGUAGUCCACGCUGUAAACGAUGAUUACUAGGUGUUGGGGGUCGAACCUCAGCGCCCAAGCAAACGCGAUAAGUAAUCCGCCUGGGGAGUACGUACGCAAGUAUG
rnacentral:rRNA from 1 species